AAGCGAUGCCAGGGGCAGGUGAGGGUCGGAAGCGCUCAGGCCCAGCCCUCGCCCCUUCAGGUCUGGGGGACACAGUGGAGUCCCAGCCUCAAGAAGUUUCCCCAACCUCUCAGCAACUUGAAGAGCAAUGCCAGGUACCGAAAAACCGGCCCCUGCCCCUUAUCCCCGGCCGACCCGUCCGCCGAGGUGGCUGCCCUGGGAACCUCCUGUUCCUCGUCCAGGAGAGGAAACGCACACCCGGGCCGGACGCACAGAAGCCGCACCCUGGCUGGGGCCACAAGCCUGACAGCUACCGACAAGCCCCCACCCACAGGAGCACGCGACGUGCUCUCUUUUCAAGGGAAAGGUUUUUCUUCCUGGGCCCUGGAAUGGGCCUGAAGUCAGCCAGCCUCAGCCCACAGGGUGAAUGAGGGGUGGGCACAGCCCGGCCGCGGCCCCAGCACACACGGGCGGACGCAGGGGCGGGGGAGCGCCAGCCCCGCAGUGUGUUCGGAGCCCAGCGGCUCUGAGUCGCCGCCACCAGCCUGGCCGCCUUCUGCUCCACCACCCGUCCCCUGGACCGGCACCGGCACAGAGGGUCAGAGUGUUGGCACCUGUCUUCCGGGUCUGUUCACCCGUCCCCUGGACCGGCACCGGCACAGAGGGUCAGAGUGUUGGCACCUGUCUUCCGGGUCUGUUCACCCCUCCCCUGGACUGGCACCGGCACAGAGGGUCGAGUGUUGGCACCUGUCUUCCGGGUCUCCAUCCCUCCCUUUGUUUGUUGAGUGACUGCAUGUUCUCAUUUCCUUAUCAUACAGUUCUACGAGAGGUAUCAUUAUCCCCAUCUUAUUUUAUUUUCACCUUCUUUUCUGUUACCUGUAUGUUUGAAUUUUCCUAUAAGUAUUUUUGUUUCAUCUUUGCUUUUUUAAAUUAAAAAAAUCAGUUUUAAAAUUG
rnacentral:antisense_RNA from 1 species